GGGGGAAUAGCUCAGUGGUAGAGUGUGUGCUUAGCAUGCAUGAGGUCCUGGGUUCAAUUUCCAGUACCUCCA
rnacentral:tRNA from 1 species